rnacentral:tRNA from 1 species
GGUCGUAUGGUGUAAUAGGAGAAGCAUAGUUGCCUGCGAAGCAGCAGAUUCCGGUUCGAAUCCGGAUAUGGCCA